UGAUCAAUGAUGACUCCCACAUACACAUUCCUUGGAAAUUGGAACAAAAUGAGUGAGGAAAAAAAAAAGAAUUACAAUGUCU